rnacentral:rRNA from 1 species
GAUGAACGCUGGCGGCGUGCUUAACACAUGCAAGUCGAACGAAGACAUCUGAGUGCUUGCACUUGGGUGGACUGAGUGGCGGACGGGUGAGUAACGCGUGGGUAACCUGCCUUAUACAGGGGGAUAACAGUUGGAAACGACUGCUAAUACCGCAUAAGCGCACGGUAUCGCAUGAUACAGUGUGAAAAACUCCGGUGGUAUAAGAUGGACCCGCGUCUGAUUAGCUUGUUGGUGAGGUAACGGCCCACCAAGGCGACGAUCAGUAGCCGGCCUGAGAGGGUGAACGGCCACAUUGGGACUGAGACACGGCCCAAAACUCCUACGGGGAGGCAGCAGUGGGGAAUAUUGCACAAUGGGGGAAACCCUGAUGCAGCGACGCCGCGUGAGUGAUGAAGUAUUUCGGUAUGUAAAACUCUAUCAGCAGGGAAGAUAAUGACGGUACCUGACUAAGAAGCACCGGCUAAAUACGUGCCAGCAGCCG